GUGCAGCGCGCCUAGGGUUCCGGUUCCGAUAAGGAAUGCUGGUCCAAGAGGCGCAAGCCGACCAACACAUGAUAGGUCGGUAACACGGCGGGCCAAAAUCCCGGGAGAC
rnacentral:sRNA from 1 species